UACGAAGGGUGCAAGUGUUACUCGGAAUUACUGGGCGUAAAGCGUGCGUAGGUGGUUGUUUAAGUCUGUUGUGAAAGCCCUGGGCUCAACCUGGGAACUGCAGUGGAAACUGGACAACUAGAGUGUGGUAGAGGGUAGCGGAAUUCCCGGUGUAGCAGUGAAAUGCGUAGAGAUCGGGAGGAACAUCCAUGGCGAAGGCAGCUACCUGGACCAACACUGACACUGAGGCACGAAAGCGUGGGGAGCAAACAGG
rnacentral:rRNA from 1 species